CCUACGGGCGGCAGCAGUGGGGAAUAUUUGGCAAUGGGCGCAAGCCUGACCCAGCAACGCCGCGUGAAGGAAGAAGGCUUUCGGGUUGUAAACUUCUUUUCUGAGGGACGAAGAAAGUGACGGUACCUCAGGAAUAAGCCACCGCUAACUACGUACCAGCAGCCGCGGUAAUACGUAGGUGGCAAGCUUGAUCCGGAUUUGUUGGGUGUAAAGGGCGUGUAGGCGGGAAAGUAAGUCAGAUGUGAAAACUCAGGGCUCAACCCUGAGACUGCAUUCGAAACUGUUUUUCUUGAGUGCUGGAGAGGCAAGCGGAAUUCCGUGUGUAGCGGUGAAAUGCGUAGAUAUACGGAGGAACACCAGUGGCGAAGGCGGAUUGCUGGACAGUAACUGACGCUGAGGCGCGAAAGCGUGGGGAGCAAACAGGAUUAGAUACCCCUGUAGUC
rnacentral:rRNA from 1 species